rnacentral:rRNA from 1 species
UCCUACGGGAGGCAGCAGUAGGGAAUUUUCGUCAAUGGGCGCAAGCCUGAACGAGCAAUGCCGCGUGGACGAGGAAGGUCUUCGGAUCGUAAAGUUCUGUUGAAGGGGAAAAAGAGCGGAGAGAGGAAAUGGUCUCCGAUUGAUAUUACCCUUCGAGGAAGUCACGGCUAACUACGUGCCAGCAGCCGCGGUAAUACGUAGGUGGCGAGCGUUAUCCGGAAUGAUUGGGCGUAAAGGGUGCGUAGGCGGCCUGCUAAGUCUGGGGUGAAAGGUACCGGCUCAACCGGUACAGGCUCUGGAAACUG